rnacentral:rRNA from 1 species
AUUGAACGCUGGCGGCAGGCCUAACACAUGCAAGUCGAGCGGAUGAAGGGAGCUUGCUCCUGGCUUCAGCGGCGGACGGGUGAGUAAUGCCUAGGAAUCUGCCUGGUAGUGGGGGAUAACGUCCGGAAACGGGCGCUAAUACCGCAUACGUCCUGAGGGAGAAAGUGGGGGAUCUUCGGACCUCACGCUAUCAGAUGAGCCUAGGUCGGAUUAGCUAGUUGGUGGGGUAAAGGCCUACCAAGGCGACGAUCCGUAACUGGUCUGAGAGGAUGAUCAGUCACACUGGAACUGAGACACGGUCCAGACUCCUACGGGAGGCAGCAGUGGGGAAUAUUGGACAAUGGGCGAAAGCCUGAUCCAGCAAUGCCGCGUGUGUGAAGAAGGUCUUCGGAUUGUAAAGCACUUUAAGUUGGGAGGAAGGGCAGUAAGUUAAUACCUUGCUGUUUUGACGUUACCAACAGAAUAAGCACCGGCUAACUUCGUG